AAUACCAAAUGCCUGUUGCAGUAGAUGUCAUCUGAAAGUCUUAAGUGUCACAUGGAAAUGCAGUAUUGCCAUUCAUCCACUUAUACAGUAUACUGAAGAAUGAUAGUUGAGCUCAUUUGGUUUGUGUUUUAAUUUAAAGGUCCAUUUGACAAUUCAAAACUUCAGGAGCGGGAGGCUGAUCAGAAUAUCAAAAUAUGCAGACAAUAAGAGGUUCCUCUUAAAUGCCCUGAUCUCCACCCCUCUAACCAGCUGCUGCUUCAACCCAUCGCUCUACUGGCAACAGUGGGUGUCCUCGCUCAGGGUUAAAAUCUCUGCCCACUGUAUGCUCUGUAGAAGUUACAUCUCUGCACAUGACUUAUUCUGUGGUGAGGGUAAGAACGGUAAACCUUAAAACACUCUGAUGAGAAACACUGCAAGACAGGUAGAAGGGGAAACACAUUUUCCUGUUAAAGCGUUAAGAUAUUCUUUCGUUGAUAUGAUGAUUAAUUGACAUGUUUUUUUUAUUAUUAGAAAUUAUGCUGCAUUGUGUAAACUUAUCCAAAAAUCUGACGUAAAGCCAAACAUUUUUAGAAACGAAACGCUACCAAAUA